ACACCUUUCACAACUUAUAUUCUGUGAUGAUUACCAACUCAGCUCGCUUUGAUAGAAACAUGAAGAAAACUUGUUCCUAUAAUUCCUACGCAUUAAAUUAUACACUGAAGCCGUAAUCAUUGCACAUUAGCAAGUUCCGACUGCUCGAGAAAGCUAUUAUAUUUGGUGGAUAUUUUUCAAUUACAGGAUCUUCCCAUGUCAAAGAUUGACUGAGAAACGGAAAAGGAUGCAUUUUCCAGAGUUAAUCAAGAUUUUUUGUUUCCUGUUGGAUGUUGCACGCAGAGACUAUACCAGCUUACAUUGCACGGAGUCACAAAAGUUUACCAAAAUGACCCUUUCCAGUUUUUGGCGUUCGAGUUUAAACGGUAAGAAAAGUUCAUUUCUGAAUGCUUAUCAUGAGAAUCAAAAUGAUGAUACCGAUGACGAGACUGACACGGAUUCAUACGGCAUUUGACGCUUCCGUGUUUUACGGAAGCAAAAUGUUACGAAUUCGUUUAAGAUUAUAUUGGCGGCUGAUUCGAUUGGUUCUAAUGCGUUUCGAGCGAGUCCGAAGAAAAGAACAAACAUUAAUAGUUGUUUUUAUCUUUAUUUCCAGAGAACCACAAUAGUUGUUGAAUUCAGUUUCAACAGUAGAAACCCUUUCCUCGGAUUAAGGUUAGUAUUUUUCAUCAAAUGGCUUAUAGUUUAAAAAAUCUACGCUAAUAUUUCACAAGUUCAAAAAGCAUUGAGGUUUGUGAAAAAGCUAGUUGAAUUAUUAAUUCAACCUUCGAACGAUAUCAGUUUGACAAGUUUUGCAAAAUCGCCCAAUGCUUUUAUGUGGCUUUUGAAAUUUUAGUCUUGGACACUUCAUGAUGAUUACCAACUCAGCUCGCUUUGAUAGAAACAUGAAGAAAACUUGUUCCUAAUUCCUACGCAUUAAUUUAGCUACUGAUGCUAUUGUAAAUCCAAAGACACGGCUCUAGGUUUUGUCCAUCAACUACAAUGAAGUUUUUCUUCUUUUUUUUUUGUAGAUACACAAACUGGUCACAUCUGGUUGGCGUUCGAUUUCGAAAGGAAAUCAGGGAUAGCUGAAAUCGAGUUUCAGCAUUGCUGAUGGUCUUUUCACUUGAAAAGACUUAUCAUGGAAUGACUAUUGUGGCAAGUGAUCCACCUAAAAGUGGAGAUAUGGUCUUCUAUCACAUGCCAUGUAGAAUACCAGGACAUCAGUUACAGAUUUCUCAGUAGUGAUGUAAUCUAGUGCAUUUUCUUUGUCAAUUUGUGGGCUGGAUCUCCCAUACCAGGAUUCGGGCACAAGGAAUAUGAUCUUAAUGAGUCUCAUUGGAUUUCAGCAGAAUGGUAGGCAUCCACUAAAAUGCAAAUAUUCAUAUUUGAUUUUACGGUGAUGUGUAAGAUUAAUGAGAUUCAAAAUGUCGUGCCUGUUGGUAGAAAUGACAUUUAGCGUAUCUCUUAUUCUUACUCGUUACACUGUCACUAUCAAUGAAUGGCCAACUGGCUAACACUAGAAUAUUAAAAAAAAAGUGAUCCAGUUCAUUUUGGAAUAUGUUUCACAUUACAACUCAGAUACACCUUUUCUUUGUGUUGGUUUUGGUCGAAUAAACACUGAAACUAAACUCGCCCAGGCUCGUAUUUCUUUCCAGAUAUCACAGUUUUUCCUUGUAAUGUGUACUAUCACAGGGAGUGAGGUUUCAAUUUUUAAUGAUAUACAUAUUAAACUGGUUGUUCGGAGGUUCUCAAGGCGUGAGUCCGACGGUUGACGAACAGGACUAUAAUCUAGAUCUAGAACAACAAUUUCAGUCAGAAAUGAUUUGCCGAACAAAACAAGUAUGAUCGACCUUGGACAAAUGGAUGUUGGAGGUGGCACACCCUAGUGCAACAUCAACGUGGUGGCGAUGGCAUGCGUGACGAUGUGGUUGCUAAUGGCAACAUAGGUUUGAAUUUUAGUCGUUAACAUAAAAAUCGAUCGCAGCACCCUGGUUGACCCGCCGAAUUGAGAAGCAGAAGCCGUUCCUGAAAAUACAGCUCAGGUUAGAAGUUCCCUGUUUUCCGGAAGCUGUCUGAAGAUGGAGUGGGCACGGAUCGUGAAGCUGACGAACACGAACUACGUAGCGUGGUGCUUUUCGAUGCAAGCACUGCUACGACGCGAGCAAAUGUGGAAGUAUGUCGACCCCGGAACUCCCCCGAAUCCUGUGACGGACGCGUGGCUUGAAGGAGACGAAAGAGCGCUGGCCACGAUCCAACUGACGGUGGAUGAGAGCCAGUACGGGAUGAUUCGAGGUAAAACCACGGCGAGGGAUACUUGGGCGGCAUUGAAGGACCAUCACCAGAAGGCAUCGCUGGGACAGAAGGUAACGUUGUUGAAGCAGAUUACGAACCAGAAUUACCAGUGCGAUGAGGACAUGGAGCGGUAUCUGGCGGACAUCGAAAAGUUGUACGUCCGGCUUGAGAACUCUGGCUUCUGUUCGGUCAAAAUCAGAAAGUUUCGGUUACAUUGACAGACGUCCUUUAUGCUCCUGCUCUGAAGGAGAAUUUGAUUUCGGUUUCGAAACUUGCAACGAAAAAUGUUAGAACAGAAUUUGUUGCGCACCAGUGUCGGUUGAUUUUCGGCGGUAAUGUGAUCGCGACUGCUGAUAAUGUUGGUGGAUUGUAUGCUCUGAACGUGGUGAAAGAGCGUGCGAUGUCCAUGGAUUCCGAGGGUGUGGCUGCUCGGAAUUGUCGCCGUAAGCAUCGUAGAAACAAUGUUCACAACGAAGGAGUCAUCAGCAACGAGGAGUUGGCGCAUAACGAGAUAGUGAAGAAUUCAAUUUCUGGUGGUCAUGAUGAUGACAAAUUUUAUGACUGCGAUUCAACUACGGAGACAGUUGAUGUUGAGGAGGAGUGUUGGAGGUGGCACACCCUAGUGCAACAUCAACGUGGUGGCGAUGGCAUGCGUGACGAUGCGGUUGCCAAUGGUAACACACGUUUGAAUUUAACUCUCGAGCGAUCGCGCUGUUGUAUUUUGUACAACAUGUUUAAAAAAUCUCGCUUUCUGUACUCAGCAUUAGCGUGGUGCUGACGCAGGUAGCCAACCGCGCGAGUUACGGAAGGUUAAGUCGUUAAUGUGAAAAUCAAUCGCAGCAACCUGGUUGCUUUUAUGUACCUCUUGUAUGUUGAAUUGAAAUAAAUCUUUCUCUUUGCGUUCAGUCUUGUAGUAGAAAAGACGUGUUUUCAUUUUGCUCCCAAACCUGGUUCAGACUCUGCUAGUCCUCGAACAUUUUGAGCUAUACCUCUAUUUAUAUGAUAAAAUAUGCGAUUUUGGGCUUUUUUGAUAGCAAGCCAUUAAGCAUGGAAAUAUUUUUUUUUUUCAAGCAAUCAACGGGUAAUUUGAUCAAUCAACAUCUAAAUUAACGACCCAUGCAAAAUAUUUCAUUUUACAAAAUCAAACUUGAUAGUUUUAAGCGAUUUAUGUUGGGUACGAUAUUUCCCAUACACUGAACGAAACCCCCCGCCCAGGAUCGACUGAGAGGCGAUACGAUCACGCCCCUUAACGACAUUCGGUCGGAAACCGUAUGGUCCACCGACCGAAUGAUGUCAUCCUAAAACCGGAUGACAGUGAUUUGAAAAUAGAAUGUCGACCAUAUGGUCGAGCAACUUUGUUUUUUAGCGAUUGAUAACAAUAAUGUCACCGCUAACUUUCUCAAAAAAGUUUGUGCUUAGUGGCCAGGAUGCCCUCGCGGGCACCUUUUUCAAAAACGAUGUCAUGUCCACGAUAGGACAUGCGACGCAUAAUCGUCAACGUCCCGAGUGUCACGAUCAAGGAACUUGUUACGCUAUUGAUGAAUAAAUUCGAUGCAUCUGUGUAGCCUUCGCUCUGCAACUAAUAUUCAUUCACAUAGCGUGCGUCGUCUCCUACGCGCAUAAGAUGAUCGUCAUCUGCUUUUUAGGAUGAUUGCCGUAUGACUGAUUCGUCAUUCGAAAACACGAUUUUGGUAAUUUGGAUUGGAUGGUCGGACAAAUCAGUCGAUUUUCGGGAUGGGGUUUUUGUUCAAGGUACCAGUCACCCUCCAAAAGUUGCAUGCAAGUUUACAUACUAACUAACAUAAAAUGCUUAAAUCUAUUAAAUUUGAUUUGGUAAAACGAAAUAUUUUGCAUAAGUCGUUAAUAUAGAUGUUAAUUGACCAAUUUACCUUUUGUUUACUUAAAAAAAUAUGUCCAUGCUUAAUGGCUUGCAGUCAAAAAAGCCCAAAAUCGCAUUAUUUGCCCCAUACAUUGAGGUAUAGCUCAAAAUUGUGACGUGCUGGAGCAAAUCUGAGCCCAGAUUCGGGUUCAGCAACCCAAAAUCUGUCAGAGGCACAUGAGUGUGCUCUUGAGACAAAAAAAAUGUUGCACUGUGUAAUAGGUUUACUCAGUUGGGACGUCACGCCAUGAAAAAAACAAGAUAUACCCAUAAGUUGUGUAAAUAAUUGUGAUAUGAUUGAUACACAAGUAAGUUAUUAAGAUUUCAGAUGCUUUAUUGUUACUUUUAUUGGGUAUUUUAUAAAAAAAUAUUGUUUAUUAUAUACAAGCACUCAAAAUAAUUUAAUUAUAAUCUAAGUAGGCAUUAUACCAGUUAUGUAAACCAUUUUCUAAGUCCAAAACAUGCAUAUAAAUAGUAUAAAGUUUUUUUCUGCUUGUCAACAUUCCAUUCAAAGUAUGUACAUU